AGUGAACGCUGGCGGUAGGCCUAACACAUGCAAGUCGAACGGCAGCACAGUAAGAGCUUGCUCUUACGGGUGGCGAGUGGCGGACGGGUGAGGAAUACAUCGGAAUCUACUUUUUCGUGGGGGAUAACGUAGGGAAACUUACGCUAAUAUCGCAUACGACCUACGGGUGAAAGCAGGGGAUCUUCGGACCUUGCGCGAUUGAAUGGGCCGAUGUCGGAUUAGCUAGUUGGCGGGGUAAAGGCCCACCAAGGCGACGAUCCGUAGCUGGUCUGAGAGGAUGAUCAGCCACACUGGAACUGAGACACGGUCCAGACUCCUACGGGAGGCAGCAGUGGGGAAUAUUGGACAAUGGGCGCAAGCCUGAUCCAGCCAUACCGCGUGGGUGAAGAAGGCCUUCGGGUUGUAAAGCCCUUUUGUUGGGAAAGAAAAGCAGCAGGUUAAUACCCCGCUGUUCUGACGGUACCCAAAGAAUAAGCACCGGCUAACUUCGUG
rnacentral:rRNA from 1 species